rnacentral:lncRNA from 1 species
CACCAUCACUUCCACCUGCAAUCCUAAUACCUUACCUUUCCCACCACCGUCUCCCCCCUGCCUUCCAUUUCUCUGGCGACUUCCUCCAUCCUUCGCCACUCUCGCCACUGUCCACCCCAAAUUUCAAACACAUUUAGGGCUUGUGAGACACCCAGGAAGGAUAAUGCUUGUGAGACACCCAGAGGGAUCGAGAAUUGCUGAACCAAAUUGCACCCAGCAAAGCAAACAAGCCUAGAUCUCUCCAAGUCAUCAUUUCAGGCCUCGAUACUGUUCACCAUAACCAUUCCAGCCUCCGCUCAAACGGGUUAGUCAUGUAUCUGUAUACGUAUAAUCUACGGACCUCUGAAUCCGUUGUUAUUUUCGUUUGAAUCGAUUAGAUUUAAGUAUUCAAGCUUUCAUUUCAUCCGUCAUAUCAGUUCUGAACUAAGAUCGGAAUCGGGAAGUCGUUCGCAUAUUUUUGUAUGUUUUAGAAGUUUGUGUUUGGGAUCGAAUUCGGUUGGAGAUUGAAAGUCAUAAUUGCAAAUUUUUUGUUGGGGCACUUCUAUCCGAGUUCUACUGCCAUAAGAUCUGUGACCGCCUUUUUUCUUUUGCAGUUUUUAUCUGGGCCUCCGUUGGUAUUUCUGGGCACCUCAGUUCAUCUUGAAGCUGCAGAAACUUCCUGGUUUCUUCCCAGAUUCCCAACAAAAAGGCGAAAGAGCUGCUUGGUAAGCGUCUUUAACUCUCCCUAUUUACAUACUUCGCUUAUUUUUCUCCUCCUUUCGCUACUCCUGUCUUGUGAGUUAAAUUAUAUUCAAGUCUCAUCAAAUCUUUCCUUUUGAUGAGACUCAUAGAAGGCUUUAGAAGGAUUCUGAU